UACAGAGGGUGCAAGCGUUAAUCGGAAUUACUGGGCGUAAAGCGUGCGUAGACGGUUAUGUAAGUCAGGUGUGAAAGCCCAGGGCUCAACCUUGGAAUUGCAUUUGAGACUGCGUAGCUAGGGUGCGGAAGAGGGAAGCGGAAUUUCCGGUGUAGCGGUGAAAUGCGUAGAUAUCGGAAGGAACACCAGUGGCGAAGGCGGCUCACUGGCCCGAUACUGACGCUGAGGCACGAAAGCGUGGGGAGCAAACAGG
rnacentral:rRNA from 1 species